ensembl:lncRNA
AGUAUGUAGGCCUGGUCCUCUUGUUGUUAUCUUGAGGCCUGGCCUCCAGCUGGCGUGUUUCUGGCCACAUUUGUAGUGUCUUUUUACGUUUUGUCCUGAGCUUUGGAGGGCUCAGCCCUGUCUGGCUCCCUACAGUACUUCACCUAACUUAGCUGUCUAUAACACUACCACACGGCUGCAUGAAGCCGGGGAAUGGGAUACAGGCCCUUGCCGAGAGGCGUGCUCUCUGCUUUCUACUCCACGAGGUUGCAGCGCUUCUUCUCUCCUGGAGGACGGAGCUACAAGGUGUCAACUUGGAAGCACAAAACCAGCCUUGGCAGACACUGAACCAGCUGGCACCUUGAUCCUGGAUUCCCCAGCUCCAGAACUGUGAGAAAACAAGUCUAUGUUUUGUGUAAAUCACCUAGCAUCGUGUGUUCUGUUGGAACAGUACAAACCAGGGAACAGAUGUGGUACUUAGCUCCAUGUUCCAAAAUGGGUGCUAGAAUGCCAAGCAUUACAUCCUCAUUCCAAACAGCAGUAGAGAAUCUGGCACAAAGAAGAGCAUACUCACUCUCUUUAAGAAGACUUCUUGGGCACAACAACAACAUUUCUGUUCUCAGUGCUGGCUUGUGACUGGUGAUGUCCUAGACAAGGUGACCCUGGGGGCAAGCUCUCCGCCUUGGCCACCUGCACAUCCUGGCUGCGUAAGCUGAUUCCAGCCCCUGCCUCCUGUGCACACAGAUACGCCCAGCUACAGAAUAACUCCAGUUUGGCCUCCGGUCACAACUGAGACUUCAGUGAUCCAGUGAUGCUGUGAUUCUCCAGGACAAGAAACAUCCUGGGAGAACAAACAUCUGCUCAGUUCCUCGUUGUUCUUGGACUGUUAACAUCUUGUUUACAGGAGAUGUACAGAACUCUCUGCAAGCCUUUUGUUACACCUUGUUUGUUCCAAUGUGAACUACUGAACUCUCUGCAAGUCAUCUGUUACAUUUGUUUCUCCCUAUGUACUGAAUUCUCUGCAAGUCAUUUUGUUAGGAGGUACUGAAUAAAAGGUGUGGUAAGCUGGGGGCUUUGGUCUUUGCCGCCCAGAGCAGCACUGAUCAGACCCAAAGCUCAGUUUCUUCUCAGUCUCAUUUUUCUACCUUUCCUGUAAUUCACCAUGUGCUGCCAUGGCUCACAGGAGACCAGGACUCACUGCAGAGGUUCUGGUAACGUCCCCUUCCCCUGUCCCCUACAGAGACUUAAAAUAUAGAGUCUGCCCAAAAAAUGGACCCACACAUCAGC